GUCAUCCAAAUAGCUCAGUUGGGAGAGCGUUAGACUAUAGAUCGAAAAGUCCCUGCUUCGAUCCCGGGAUUCUGCCC
rnacentral:tRNA from 1 species